GCUUACGGCCAUACCAGCCUGGCUAUGCCUGAUCUUGUUUGAUCUUGGAAGCUAAGCAGGUUUGGGCCUGGCUAAUAGUUGGAUGGGAGACUGCCUGGGAAUACCAGGUGCUGUAAGCU
rnacentral:rRNA from 1 species